GAUGAACGCUAGCGACAGGCUUAACACAUGCAAGUCGAGGGGCAGCACGAUGUAGCAAUACAUUGGUGGCGACCGGCAAACGGGUGCGGAACACGUACGCAACUUACCCUUAUCUGGGGGAUAGCCCGGUGAAAACCGGAUUAACACCUCAUGGUAUUAUUGAGAGGCAUCUUUUGGUAAUUAAAAAUUUAUUGGAUAGGGAUGGGCGUGCGUAAGAUUAGGUAGUUGGUGAGGUAACGGCUCACCAAGCCGACGAUCUUUAGCUGAUGUGAGAGCAUGAUCAGCCACACGGGCACUGAGACACGGGCCCGACUCCUACGGGAGGCAGCAGUGAGGAAUAUUGGUCAAUGGGCGGAAGCCUGAACCAGCCAUGCCGCGUGAAGGACGAAGGCGUUCUGCGUUGUAAACUUCUUUUAUAAGGGAAGAAACCUACGAUUUCUAUUGUAGCCGACGGUACCUUAUGAAUAAGCACCGGCUAACUCCGUG
rnacentral:rRNA from 1 species